AAAAAAUGUUAAUGUUUUUACCUAUCUAUAUAGGAAAGCCAUUUAUUCUAUCAUUCAGAGUAAAAGGAUACCAUUACCAUUUGAAACAUUAAGUCACUUUCCAAUUCAUACCACGUGGGAGUUUUGUCCUGCAAAUGACUUUUCCAUUUAUUGCCAGCGCUUCCUUCGAAAACAGUGUGCUGAGGAUAAGCUGAGGACCGGACUGAGGAACCUGGGGCGUGGGGGGAAGCUCGGAGCUUCAGUGUUGCAGAAGUGCAGCAUUACGGCUAAGUUGUCAUCAGCCAUAUCUCCACUAAAAGGUGAAAAGGAUGGCGGCUACCAAGGUACUGAAGCAGAAAAUGCACAGCUCUUCAAGGCACCAUUAGCAGCUCCAGCCUCUGUUCACAGAUAUGCACAUUCUACCACAGGAAGAGAAGUUUUGACUAGAGAAGACAUUUUUACUUGUACUCAAAAUGAAACCUCUUGCAGAAAAUGGUCGUAGUUGUUCCACCUUGGAUUAAUGUUCCAUCUCCUCUGAUACUCUCUUGCAUUCACUUUUGUUAUCUGUCCCUAGCUAAUUCCAUUUUCCACAGUUUUCUCUUUCACUGUCUCACAUUUUUACAUCUUUUACUAUUGAUUUUCAGCCCUAAUUACUAGCACAACUGUGCAUUUUAUUUUCUCUCACACAGCAGGUGACAUUUCAUCACCAGCUACAACGAAGUUACACUGAUGGCAAGCAGAAUGGACUACAACUGACAACAGAUCAUUCAUCACCUGCUAUAAUCAACUCAUUUGAAAUACAUAUAGAUGCAUGAGUGUGAAACAAACAAAAAGAUAACAUAGCAAAUUGAUGGUAAUUUCCGGUCUGAGUUUCCACAACUGUUUGGGCUUUUAUUUCUUAUUAGCCAAGAUAAAACUGAAUUAUCUCUAAUGCUUGCAACCAAUCCCUUAGGAUUUGAAAGCAAGCACCUUAAGGUCCCUAUCACCUCAUGCUUACGUUUGUUAUCUUUCAGGAGGGGAGCUGGGCUAACUUCUUAUUUCAUCUGACUUUUCUGAUGAACUUUUCUUCUGAACAGUUCCUUUGAUUUUUAUGGUUUUUGUUUGUUUUCAAGUUCAGCAAAGGUAGAGGGAAUGGCAACAAGGCUGCUUAGAGGUAUAGAAUAACCUUCUUAUACCAAGCGAAUUUAGGAGUUUCCAGGCUGCAGAAGUGAUAACAAUGAGUGGAUAAGCUGGAAGGCUACAAAACAGAGAAGUGGUUGGUGAAUAAUUUUUUCCUCACACCCCUGGGAUAGUGUGUCCUUCAGUUUGCUAGGAAGUUUAAAACAACAGAAGGAAGUACCUUCUCAUCCAAUAUACAAAAAAGUUGCAGAGAUGCACUCUCACAGACUGGUAAAGCCACAGCAGCUCUGCUCACAGCAGCUCAGGUGCUGCUCUGCUCACGCAGCUCUGACCUGGUGCCUGCAGGUCAGCCUCUCUGUCCUUGUUCUCACAUGCUUCCCCUAAAUAUCACGUGUAUAUAUGGGACUAAACGGACUUUUAGUUUGACCCAGGCCUUUUCCUCAGUUAGCAAUAAAACUGCAGUGUAGACCUUUUAUUUUAACUUC
rnacentral:lncRNA from 1 species